ACUGCCAGAAGCCCAGAAGGGUGUGAAAGUGGGGGUGGGGGUGGGGGUGGGGGUGGGGCGUUGUUGCAUAUGUGGAAGAAGUUGAGUUUUGUAAUCUGAGUUUGUGAAAUAUGAAGAUUGAGAACGAAACAUUACAGAUCAAGUAUAGCGUCUUCAUCACCGGUAGUAACCGCAACUUCUUCAAGCAUGACGAUCAGACCAACCUGUGCUCCGGUGUCUUCGUCUUCAGCGGCAGCAGCUUCCUCCUCUCUGUGCUCUGCCAAAAAUAAGGUCAUUCUUUCAGUCUGAUUCAGUCUUCGAUCAAGUAUUAUUAUUAUGAUGAAUCUGAUCUUGAAAACGCAAUCAGUACUGUGAUCCGAUCAUGUGGAUUGAAAUAUGUUUUAAGAAGUGGAUUUAAGGUCCGUUUGCUAAAGUACAACAAGUGUUUGUUAAAAUGUCAACUCCAUCUAUGUUGUUAGUCUUAUUCCCCUGUUUCCUGAUCUGUAAUUGAGCAUGAUUUUUUUUAGUUAUUGGAUUAAUCCAAGUUAUAAUAUCAACAAUUCAACAUAGACAUUGAUAAGAAAAGAUUAGUUUUGACUUUUGACCAUUAUUUAUUGUUUUACGAUUUAACGUUGUGGGAUUUUUUAUUUAACUAAGAAAAUUGUUUUAGAUUUACAUGAUGAAAAGGAAAAAUAACUAAAUUAGUGGAUUAAGGUCAAACUUAUUACUUUUGUUUUGUUUUUUUAUAUAUGUGGAAUAAUGGGUAGUUGGGCUUUUUUAAGAUUCUCAGUAUGUACAUAUGUACAGAUGCAUUCCCAAUAGAUGCCUAGAGUAGAUCCAUAUGUUGGAAACCUUUGAAAGUUUGAAUACUAGGUUAUAAGUACGGUGAGAAUGAUGAGGUGUAGAGUUUGAUUAAGAAGUACUUAAUGCAUUAUUUUGUAUCUGAUUAUGUGUAUACAGGGUCGCUCAAUACUGAACCGAUUUAAGUAGAGAACUGUGAGAUUUUCAUGUAUGUGUUAAUUUUUUUAACGGGUUCUGUUAGUUUUUUAUUAGAGGCUGGAACUGGUGAAGUUAUGGAUCAACAUAAGAUAACAAGAAUGUGGUAGCUGUUGUCCCUCCAUGUUGCUUGAAAGCAUCAAAGAAGAAGAAGUUGUUGAGGAUGUUGUCAUGAUCCUGUACCAAAAAUUAUCAGAGGCUCUUAUGAAGAUUAGCAUCAAAGAAGACUUGGUGAAGGAGCACUCUAAAGUAGCUGAGGAAGCAUUCGAAGUAGGAAGAAGCUGAAGAUGAAUACGCUUCCCUUUCCUUCCAAACUGAUUACCACUUCAAGCCUCCAAAGGUGAAGUUCGAGAUCGCUUGCUUUCAUCCUAAUGUCGAUGCUUUUGGAAAUAUAUGUUUGGAUAUUCUUUAGGACAAAUGGGCAGCUGCUUAUGAUGUGAGAAGUAUACAAGAAGAUAAAAUCGAUCAAUGGCCUUAUCUUAAUGACGCUUUAACCAAGAUUCGGGUACAAGAAGAAGAUGAAGAUGAAUAUGCUUCCUUUUCCUUCCCAAAUGAUUACCCCUUCAAGCCUCCAAAGGUGAAGUUCGAGACCGCUUGCUUUCAUCCUCAUGUCGAUGCUUUCGGAAAUAUAUGUUUGGAUAUUCUUUAGGACAAAUGGUCAGCUGCGUAUGAUGUGAGAAGUAUACAAGCAGAUAAAUCGAUCAAUGGCCUUAUCUUAAUGACGCUUUAACCAAGUUUCAGGUACAAGAAGAAGAUGAAUACGCUUCACAGAUACAAGCUGUUUUCAUCAGAAGUUCAUGAUGCACAAGACCUUGGAAUAGCUAUAUCCCAGUUGAUUUCGUUUGAAGACUCGAGACUACAGAGAUUUCGUUUCAAUUACAAGAUUUGAUGCAAUAACCAUGUUAGAAAGAUUGAGGAUCCGAUUGACUCUGCUUUCUCAUGACAACCGGCAAGUAUGCAACCAUGGUUUUUGGUUAUUUUAGCUGAUGCAACUUUAGGUGCAUGAAAUUAACCAUUCUUCGAUUCAAUUUAAGUUAGUUUGAUGAUAAGAAACUUAUUUUGUAUUUGUGUUUUAAUGUAAUAAAUACCUUUGAAGAAUUUA